GGAUACCCGUUUAAGUGAGGGAAAGUUUAAUUAUAAAUUUCCUUUCUUAUUUCUUUUUCCCGAACCCGACUUAAACCUUUAACCGAGCUCUUCCUCCCCUCUCUGCCCCGACGCGAUCCCGAUCUCCCCUCCCUUCUCUCUGUUCUCUCUUGCGGACGAAGCAGCCGACGGUUCCGGCGGCUGUCGACCUCGACGGAAACCAGUGGAGUCACCGGAGCUUGCUGGAGCACGACGGGAUUGGUGGAGUACCGAUCUCCUUCGAUCGAGGGGUUGCGGUUCGGUGGAUUCAACGAUCGAUCGUCGGCGAUACGGCAACUAGGGCACGGCGGGGGGUUGAUUCGUGUUGUCUCCUAGCCAAUCGACCUUCCCUUUCCUUUCCUCGCACUGCUCACAGUGCGAUCCAUCUCUUCCUUGGCCGGAUCUGGAUCGAGCCGUGCCACCCGAUCACCGGCGUGGAAGGGGCGAUUAGGGCUUCAAUGGGUCUCGGUGGAAGAUGAUGGGAUCCUUUGAGCUGUCGGCAGAGGCUAGGAGAGUUCUUGCUUGAUUGGUGAUCCCCACCGCUUGACCUCCUGCUUGAUCAGAUUGAUAGCAGCAAGGUGAGGUCUUGUUCUGUUCUUGCUGUGGAGUUGUUCUUGGUUCCGGCAACACUUCAACCAGUAGCUUCUCUGGUUCCAGCAAUCAACAGCAAUUGGAUCGAGGACUCUGAUUCGAGACGAGCAUCUCGAUAUUGGAUCAGGACCGGAUUGUACCUUCUAUUU